CCAAGUGGCUUUUCCACUUCCCUUAAACUAUAUAUUUUUAAACCUCAACAAUUCCCUUUGAAAAUAGGAUUCAACAUUGGGCAGGAGACUGUGUAAAAUGGGACAGUUGAAGGAUUUUUCACAAUCUGCAUACUAUCCUCCCUCAAGUUUGAGGAUGUGAUUUCCUUUCACUUUCAUUGCUAGAGUAGAUUCAGACGCAGAAUACCAGUUUUCUGCUUUUCUCCAAAUCGUGGGGAGCACAAAUGACAGGAAGGUGUGGCAGACAGCGUAAUGCUCCCUAAGGAUGCCCAUGCCCUACGCCCUGGAACAUGUGAUUUUUACCUUACAUGGCAAAAGAAGAUUUGCGGAACUGAUUAAACUAAGGACCUUGCGAUUGGGGGAUUAUCUUCAACUAUUCAGUUCUGGAGACUAGAAACCCUAGAACAAGGGUUCACCAGCAGGGUCAUGCUCCCUCUGAAGAUGUUACAGAAGGAUCUGUUCCAGACCUCUCUGCUGGCUUAUGGUAGUUCCUUGGUUUGUGGCAGCAUAACUACAAUCUUC